rnacentral:rRNA from 1 species
UACGGAGGAUCCAAGCGUUAUCCGGAAUCAUUGGGUUUAAAGGGUCCGUAGGCGGUUUUGUAAGUCAGUGGUGAAAUCUGGUCGCUCAACGAUCAAACGGCCAUUGAUACUGCAAGACUUGAAUUACUGGGAAGUAACUAGAAUAUGUAGUGUAGCGGUGAAAUGCUUAGAUAUUACAUGGAAUACCAAUUGCGAAGGCAGGUUACUACCAGUGGAUUGACGCUGAGUGACGAAAGCGUGGGGAGCGAACAGG